CAGCCGUAAACUAUGCGCGUUAGGUGUAUCGGUGACCACGAGUUACCGAGGUGCCGAAGGGAAACCGUGAAACGUGCCGCCUGGGAAGUACGGUCGCAAGGCUGAAGCUUAAAGGAAUUGGCGGGGGAGGCACCACAACAGGUGGAGCCUGCGGUUUAAUUGGACUCAACGCCGGGAAGCUCACCGGAUAGGACAGCAGAAUGAUUGCCGGGCUGAAGACCCUGCAUGACUAGCUGAGAGGAGGUGCAUGGCGUCAGUGACU
rnacentral:rRNA from 1 species